AUGUCCCCCCACCUCUUCCCGCCCCCUCCCCCCACACUCCGCCCGCUGCCACCGGCGGCGAGUCUCCACCUCUGCUCGCCCCCCUCCCCGGACCCCUAGCCCAUGCCGUCGGCGGCGAGUCCCCACCCGGUGACGCUCGCGCAGGACGAGCCUGGUGGAGCCUUGCGCCGCAGUGGUGGUGCUCGUUCAAAGUACAGGCUGGUCCAAGCACUCGUUGACGAGCGCGACGGCUCCAUCUACGGCGCCGUCCUCGAAUGGGACCGCCAGGCCGCACUCUCGGACUACAUCCCGUUUCGAGCAAGGCUGGCAAUCCUUGAUGAUGCACGACCUGGGGCAGCGGCGCGGUGAGGUCCUUGACGCUGCUGGUGCCCUCCCGUCGAACACCCCGACCCACAUGACGGUGCGACGAGGAGACCGGCGACGUACGGUGUGUCCGGCGUGCUCACUAGCCGUGCUGGCUUGGUCACCAUCGUCGCGGGGGUGCAUAGCAGGUGUUCGACGAAAUGUAUGAACCAAAAGCAAAGAUGUAUUGCUAAUCUGGAGCUUGAGGGGCUCGCUGAUUACUGCAUUCACUGCGCCGACCAUCUCGCUUGGGGAGGUAAAUGCAUCGGUGUGAGAGAAGAACACGUGGCAUGUCUUGCACAUCUUCCAGAACAGCUCCCUGCAUGGUCUAGGAACUACACUCUUCCUUAAGGACUAACCUUAGUAAGUCUUUUCUACAUGAGGCUAUGGAUCUUAUUAUCGACUCUUUAGCCGCUUCUAUGGAUAUAGAACCAUCACCAUGUAGAACAAGCAGUGAAACACUAUCUAGUUUUCCCUCACUGCUCUCCCUCUGCAACAAUAGAUCAAAUAUAUGUCAGAACAACACGAUUACAAUGUAGAAGGAUAAACUACGCAAAAAUGAUGAGUAAACUUCUAAAUUCUCAGAGCGAAUA